rnacentral:rRNA from 1 species
CAGACGGGUGAGUAACGCGUGGGAACCUUCCCAGUGGUACGGAAUAGCUCAGGGAAACUUGGGGUAAUACCGUAUAAGCCCGAAAGGGAAAGAUUUAUCGCCAUUGGAUGGGCCCGCGUCGGAUUAGCUAGUUGGUGAGGUAAUGGCUCACCAAGGCGACGAUCCGUAGCUGGUCUGAGAGGAUGAUCAGCCACACUGGGACUGAGACACGGCCCAGACUCCUACGGGAGGCAGCAGUGGGGAAUAUUGGACAAUGGGCGCAAGCCUGAUCCAGCCAUGCCGCGUGAGUGACGAAGGCCUUAGGGUUGUAAAGCUCUUUUGGCGGGGACGAUAAUGACGGUACCCGCAGAAUAAGCCCCGGCUAACUUCGUGCCAGCAGCCGCGGUAAUACGAAGGGGGCUAGCGUUGUUCGGAAUCACUGGGCGUAAAGCGCACGUAGGCGGAUUUGUUAGUCAGGGGUGAAAUCCCGGGGCUCAACCUCGGAACUGCCUUUGAUACUGCAAGUCUCGAGUCCGGAAGAGGUGAGUGGAAUUCCUAGUG